GGCGCUUUCCGGACGGCCGUAAGUGCUUCCCUGGCCGCCUGCUCCGCCUUCUUCCCUGUCACUCUUCCCUCCCCUUUGCCCCGCAGCAGUGCAGGGCGCCCCGCGACAGUUGCUGGGAUGAACGCACCCCGGGCGCAGGGUGCUGGCUUCGGUGCCGCGCUGCGCCCGGGGACCGCCGGCGCGCUCUGGCUAGGAGCCGCUUGGGGCUGGCAGGGCCCGGCCCGUGUCAGGUCGCCCGCCGAACGUGCGUCUGGAUCAGUGGUCGUGAUGGGAGUGGGUACUUCGGGGUCGCAAACUUCCAUUUCCCGCGCUCGGCUGGUUGGCUGCCCGACUUCUCGAGGUGAGAGUGAUUUCCCAGCGAUUGCUUCGGCCGGUACAACCAGAGAACAGGAUUCUUUUCUUUUUGGCUGCUAAAUGCCUCUGUAUUCCACACUUUCCAGUGAGGGGAGAAGGCUGGAGCUUCUUGGAUGAUGAUGGAUAUUCCGCUGGGCAGGAUGAGGGCAGAGUGUGUGACAUCAACACCACAAGGGUAAGAGCUGCCUGUCUGGUGUUUUCUCUGAUGCCAGCAUUUACCAAAGGAAGGGGAGAAAAACCUAGUGACAGAAAUGAGGGUUAAGCAUCUGGGAGACUCUUCAGUUUGUAAACAUCCAUGGGGCAGUUGGGGUAGAUGACUGAGGAAGGAAGGGAGAGGGCUGGCCUGGAAGGACUGGGUUGCUGUGUGCUGGGAGACACAGCAGGUCAACUUUGGAAGAUCCUGUUGUCCACAUGGCCCACCCUCUUUUGUGGUUAUAGUUCACACUUGAG
rnacentral:lncRNA from 1 species